GGGGGAGUAACUAAUCGAAAGAUUAGCUAAUACCGCAUAUCUUCUGAGGAAGAAAGCAGGGGACCAUUUGGCCUUGCGCUGUUUGAGCGGCCGAUAUCUGAUUAGCUAGUUGGUGGGGUAAAGGCCUACCAAGGCGACGAUCAGUAGCGGGUCUGAGAGGAUGAUCCGCCACACUGGGACUGAGACACGGCCCAG
rnacentral:rRNA from 1 species